AUGAGGGAUGCUUCCGAAGGUAAGAUUGAGGC
rnacentral:scRNA from 1 species